rnacentral:rRNA from 1 species
UCGUACGACGAGUUUGAUCAUGGCUCAGAAUGAACGCUGGCGGCAGGCCUAACACAUGCAAGUCGAACGGGUCCUUCGGGACUAGUGGCGGACGGGUGAGUAACGCGUGGGAACAUACCCAAAGGUACGGAAUAGCCUCGGGAAACUGAGAGUAAUACCGUAUGUGCCCUUCGGGGGAAAGAUUUAUCGCCUUUGGAUUGGCCCGCGUUGGAUUAGGUAGUUGGUGGGGUAAUGGCCUACCAAGCCGACGAUCCAUAGCUGGUUUGAGAGGAUGAUCAGCCACACUGGGACUGAGACACGGCCCAGACUCCUACGGGAGGCAGCAGUGGGGAAUCUUAGACAAUGGGGGAAACCCUGAUCUAGCCAUGCCGCGUGAUCGAUGAAGGCCUUAGGGUUGUAAAGAUCUUUCAGAUGGGAAGAUAAUGACGGUACCAUCAGAAGAAGCCCCGGCUAACUCCGUG